AACGCGAAGAACCUUACCUGGGCUCGAAAUGCAGGGGAAUCCGGAUGAAAGUCUGGCGCCCGCAAGGGCCGCUGCAUAGGUGCUGCAUGGCUGUCGUCAGCUCGUGUCGUGAGAUGUUGGGUUAAGUCCCGCAACGAGCGCAACCCUCAUCUUUAGUUGCCAUGCCGCAAGGCGGCACUCUAAAGAAACUGUCGGCCACAAGCCGAAGGAAGGUGGGGAUGACGUCAAGUCCUCAUGGCCUUUAUGUCCAGGGCCACACACGUGCUACAAUGGACGGCACAAAGCGCUGCAAACCCGCGAGGGGGAGCCAAUCGCAAAAAGCCGUUCUCAGUUCGGAUUGCAGUCUGCAACUCGACUGCAUGAAGCUGGAAUCGCUAGUAAUCGCGGAUCAGCACGCCGCGGUGAAUACGUUCCCGGGCCUUGUACACACCGGUACUA
rnacentral:rRNA from 1 species